GCCCGGAUAGCUCAGUCGGUAGAGCAGCGGACUGAAAAUCCGCGUGUCGCUGGUUCGAUCCCGGCUCCGGGCACCA
rnacentral:tRNA from 1 species